GAUCUUGAUGCUAUCUGUUCCUCGUUACAGCAGACCUGCUCAACUUCAGCAGCUAGAAGGAGGAUUGUCUUUCACCAGCUGCAGGAGCCUGUUCCCACUACAAGCCUGGUGGAGUCUUCGGAGCAGAUGUGACUGUCCUACUUGUAUAGAGAAGAGAAACUGAGGCUCAGAAGAGAUGCCUGGCUGAGUUUAAUAGGACUGCAACAACAAUUUUGCCUUUCUACUUUCUGACCGUUUGCAAAGAAAUUUCCUAAACAUCACCACUGAGGCUCCUUCCAGCAAUGACUCUGGUCCAUCAUUGGGAUUGCUGAGCAGCUGUUUCAUAACAUGAACAAGGAUGUUUUAACCAUGUUUCUUGACCUGGCCAUUUGGAUCCCAAGGAUGUUUUGGUCCAAGAAUAAAUUCCAGAGCUUAGCUCACCGAAGAAGACAGGAAAACUUGUCAGAUGGGGAAGGAUGUGUCAAGAGCAUGCACACAGAUUUACUCUUCAGCUAGAAGCUCCAAUUCCUAGAUGAUCUGAAUCCAACUCAGAGUGCUUGCACCUGUUUCCUGCCACACAGCUAGAGCUGUAUGAUGACCGGAGACACAGCUGUUGGAGGAAAAAAGUUUAUGUCAAUUAAAAUCCUGAAUUUCUCUGAUCUGGAAAGAAAAACUGCUAUGAACUCUUUAGACACACUCCACAAUAUCUGAGAAAUAGAAUAACUGGGGAUGAAUGAAUGAGAAAAUUAAUGAAGAAAUGAAGGAAGUUACCUGGUCAAACUGCUAAGAAGUAACAAGGCAAAGGAAAGAACUAUGUUUCCUUUCUUCAACUCAGCCCUUAUUCCUACAUCCCGUGUCUGUGGUUCAUGUUACAAACCACACCAAUAAGAACUUUGUCAUACUAUUUGUCACUGUGAUCCGUUCCAUGGAAGAAAAUGGUUCAUUUUGCUCAUUAAUAUUAAUUAAGAUACAUAUUAAGUAACAUAGUUGAGCUUCGUUACGGUAGAUACUAUGGCUUUUUCUCCUUUUGUUCUGUUAUUAUCUGACACUUACUAUGUCCUAAUUCAGUUAGCAAGUUCUAAUUCAUUAAUGUUCGUCAAAUGAAUGAACCCAGAAAUUCUUAAAUUAAAAAA
ensembl:lncRNA novel transcript